GAAAAGAAACCAACCUGACAAUUCAGACAGUGUGAUACAUCAUGACCAUGAAAGUCGAGGUGACAGCAUACAACGUUACGCUGACCUUAAUUCACUCAUUCUGGAAACGUAGGGGAGCAGUGCCUAAAUCUUAGAUAUAAUAAACUGGCUCAUUCCCUCAAUCAUACAGACUGGAACAGCGUUUCUGCUGAAGGAAGUAGGCAAUGGCUUUACCAAACAUGUGCUGAGUUUGGUUGGGUUCAAAGUUCCUGGUCAAGAAAGAAACCUUUCGGUCAGUGGUUUCUUUUUCCGUUCAACAAAACCGCUAGCAACAUCCCCCUUCAUAGUCGUGGUCCUGAAUCUGUGGCACAUUCUAAUGGCUGCAUGGUAAGUAGUGGGAGAUAUACGUUUUCCGUAAAAAAAAUCUCAAGUGCUUAUAUGAAUAAAAAUUUACAGCUAGAACUUCGAAUCAUUGCCGAGAUAUGUCAAAGCUGCGAUGCCUCAGAUCUAGACGGGUUGUGGCAGAUAUGACAUAAAACUUACUUUUAGACAUUGAAAAAUAAUUUUAACAUAUGAUGGUGCAGUUCUCAAUCUAGAAAAACAUUCUUGUUGUGAUGAAUCUGAUUAUCACACCGCCAUCAGAGAAGCACUUGGCAGUGAAUGACGGGAGGAAGAAAAGGAAGUUCGAAUAUAUGCAUGUUUCAUUGGCAGAUGACAUACAGAGAAAAUAAUUUUAAAGUGGAAAAUGUUGUUACUUUCCUGUUUUCAAUUAAUAUCUGCUACAAACUAAAUAAGUAUAAUUCAUCUGAUAUGUCUGUCAAUACACUCCUUAAAAAUCAUAUCAAGCCCGAUUUUGGACUUUAUAACAUUAAAUACAUUCAGUCAAGUAAUUUCUAGUAAAAACACAUUUUACGUGCAUAAAAGGAAAUUGAUUUCCUGUUUCACUGCAAACGCCUGUGCUAAAUGGAUAAAAAUCCAAUUAUUUUUCAAUUUUUAAGGGUUUUUUUUUAUUAGAUUUAAUUUAACAUGUAAUAUCAUUUGCACUCAUUUUUCUUCACUUUGGAAUUUUGCAGGCAUGGCAAUACUCAUUUU